GGCGGGGGCGGGGCGGGGCCGCGCAGCGUCUGACGCCGCGGCUGCCGAGCUGCUUGGGAUUAAUGGGAAAAGUUUUGGCAGGAGCUGGAGGUUCCUGCGGAGCCUGCGGGACGGCGGCGGCGGCGGCGGCGCGGGAGGCGGCCGGGACAGUGUCGCGUGGUGGUGUGGGCAUGUGCGUGGUACUCACACAGUGGCUUCUGCUUACCAACAGAUGAGGACAGAUGCACCAAAGAGGUAAUCCUGUUUCCUUAACUCUGGGUCCUCUGACAAUUCACUGACACAUCCCAGAUUUAGGAUCCUGGCCUAGAAGAUGAAAUAAUUUUACAGGGG
rnacentral:lncRNA from 1 species